rnacentral:misc_RNA from 1 species
AGCAGCCGCGGUAAUUCCAGCUCCAAUAGCGUAUAUUAAAGUUGUUGCAGUUAAAAAGCUCGUAGUUGAAUUUCGGGGUUAGCAGGUCGGUCGUGCCAUCGGUAUGAACUGGUCUCGCUGAUCCCUCCCUCUUGACGAACUGUGAUGCCAUUAAUUUGGUGUCGCAGGGAAUCAGGACUGUUACUUUGAAAAAAUUAGAGUGUUUAAAGCAGGCUCACGCUUGAAUACAUUAGCAUGGAAUAAUGAAAUAGGACGUUUGAUCCUAUUUUGUUGGUUUCUAGGAUUGACGUAAUGAUUAAUAGGGAUAGUUGGGGGCAUUAGUAUUCAAUUGUCAGAGGUGAAAUUCUUGGAUUUAUUGAAGACUAACUACUGCGAAAGCAUUUGCCAAGGAUGUUUUCAUUAAUCAAGAACGAAAGUUAGGGGAUCGAAGACGAUCAGAUACCGUCGUAGUCUUAAUCAUAAACUAUGCCGACUAGGGGUCGGAUGAUGUUAAUUUUUUAAUGACUCAUUCGGCGCCUUA